rnacentral:rRNA from 1 species
UACGUAGGGCGCAAGCGUUGUCCGGAAUUAUUGGGCGUAAAGAGCUCGUAGGCGGCUUGUCACGUCGGAUGUGAAAGCCCGAGGCUUAACCCCGGGUCUGCAUUCGAUACGGGCUAGCUAGAGUGUGGUAGGGGAGAUCGGAAUUCCUGGUGUAGCGGUGAAAUGCGCAGAUAUCAGGAGGAACACCGGUGGCGAAGGCGGAUCUCUGGGCCAUUACUGACGCUGAGGAGCGAAAGCGUGGGGAGCGAACAGG